rnacentral:rRNA from 1 species
CCAAAUGCUGGCGACCGGCGCACGGGUGAGUAACACGUAUCCAACCUGCCUCAUACUCGGGGAUAGCCUUUCGAAAGAAAGAUUAAUAUCCGAUAGCAUAUAUUUCCCGCAUGGGUUUUAUAUUAAAGAAAUUCGGUAUGAGAUGGGGAUGCGUUCCAUUAGUUUGUUGGGGGGGUAACGGCCCACCAAGACUACGAUGGAUAGGGGUUCUGAGAGGAAGGUCCCCCACAUUGGAACUGAGACACGGUCCAA